rnacentral:rRNA from 1 species
CCUACGGGUGGCAGCAGUGAGGAAUAUUGGUCAAUGGGAGAGAUCCUGAACCAGCCAAGCCGCGUGAGGGAAGACGGCCCUAUGGGUUGUAAACCUCUUUUGUCGGAGAAUAAAAUGCUCGACGUGUCCCGGACUGCGUGUAUCCGAAGAAAAAGCAUCGGCUAACUCCGUGCCAGCAGCCGCGGUAAUACGGAGGAUGCGAGCGUUAUCCGGAUUUAUUGGGUUUAAAGGGUGCGUAGGCUGGGAGGUAAGUCAGCGGUGAAAUGCCCGCGCUCAACGGGGUGAAGUGCCAUUGAUACUGGCAUGCUGGAAUGCAGAUGCCGUGGGAGGAAUGUGUGGUGUAGCGGUGAAAUGCAUAGAUAUCACGCAGAACACCGAUUGCGAAGGCAGCUCACGAAUCCGCGAUUGACGCUGAUGCUCGAAAGUGUGGGUAUCAAACAGGAUUAGAUACCCUUGUAGUC